UACGUAGGGGGCAAGCGUUAUCCGGAUUCAUUGGGCGUAAAGCGCUCGUAGGCGGUCCGUUAGGUCGGGAGUUAAAGACCGGGGCUCAACCCCGGCCCGCUCCCGAUACCGGCGGACUUGAGUUUGGUAGGGGAAGGUGGAAUUCCCAGUGUAGCGGUGGAAUGCGCAGAUAUUGGGAAGAACACCGGUGGCGAAGGCGGCCUUCUGGGCCAUAACUGACGCUGAGGAGCGAAAGCUAGGGGAGCAAACA
rnacentral:rRNA from 1 species